AACGAACGCUGGCGGCAUGCCUAACACAUGCAAGUCGAACGAGACCUUCGGGUCUAGUGGCGCACGGGUGCGUAACGCGUGGGAAUCUGCCCUUGGGUUCGGAAUAACAGUUGGAAACGACUGCUAAUACCGGAUGAUGACGUAAGUCCAAAGAUUUAUCGCCCAAGGAUGAGCCCGCGUAGGAUUAGCUAGUUGGUGAGGUAAAGGCUCACCAAGGCGACGAUCCUUAGCUGGUCUGAGAGGAUGAUCAGCCACACUGGGACUGAGACACGGCCCAGACUCCUACGGGAGGGAGCAGUGGGGAAUAUUGGACAAGGGGCGAAAGCCUGAUCCAGCAAUGCCGCGUGAGUGAUGAAGGCCGUAGGGUUGUAAAGCUCUUUUACCCGGGAUGAUAAUGACAGUACCGGGAGAAUAAGCUCCGGCUAACUCCGUG
rnacentral:rRNA from 1 species